GCUGCUAAACGCUGGCAUUGCCAGACUGUCUUGCAUCCUCAUUCUAACAUGUGAGGGCAGUGGAUUGAGAAUGUGUCCCUGACAGAAUCCCGGCUCACCAGAGGCUUCCCGCAGAAGAUGUGGCCCAGAUUAAAGAUGGAUCUUCCCACCUCAAAAGAUCUGGAUUAAAGCAAGAACCGAAGUUUGAGGUAGACGAGCGGGCGAGCCGUUUGCCCGGGCGCAGAGCAUGAAGGCCGGGCGGGCGCGGGGAGCGGGCGCCCGCCGCCCGGCGCGGGGGUGAGCGAGAGAGAGAGCGGAGCGCGUGUGGCCGGCGCCGCUCG